rnacentral:rRNA from 1 species
AUUGAACGCUGGCGGCAUGCUUUACACAUGCAAGUCGGACGAGUGGCGGACGGGUGAGUAAUAUAUUGGAACGUACCGAGUAAUGGGGGAUAACCAAUCGAAAGAUUGGCUAAUACCGCAUACUAUUCGAGCGGCCAAUAUGUGAUUAGCUAGUUGGUGGGGUAAAGGCCUACCGAGGCGACGAUCAGUAGCGGGUCUGAGAGGAUGAUCAGACACACGGGGACUGAGACACGGCCCAGAAUCCGACGGGAGGCAGCAGUGGGGAAUUUUGGACAAGGGGCGCAAGCCUGAUCCAGCCAUGCCGCGUGUCUGAAGAAGGCCUUCGGGUUGUAAAGGACUUUUGUUAGGGAAGCGGUACCUGAAGAAUAAGCACCGGCUAACUACGUGCCAGCAGCCGCGGUAAUAC